AUCUGUUCCUGUUUAUCGUCCGUAACGCGUGCUUAAUGCGUUGUAUAAUUAAGGGGUAAUUACAUACAUAUAUAAACCUGACUGUAAUGUCCCAAAUAAUUCAGAAGUCCGCUUUCCUUAACCAGUUAUUUCGUGAAAAUUUCUCUUAGUAUUUUAACAUAACUGCGCACCAUGACGUCCUUAAAGAUCCCCGUUGUUGUAGCCUUCGUUCUGUGCUCGUUCCUGGUUUUAUUUGCCGAAGCAGGAUGCAAAAAAGGUCUGGACUACUGUGGUCACACGGCACGCAAUAAAAGAGGAUACACCGAUAUUAAGGACAGUGAGUUGGACGAUUUGUAUCACUGCGUGGAUGGAAGAGUUCUGGAGCGAAUAGCGGAAUGUCAGCGCUGUUACGACCGUGGGAAUGGUAAAAGUGACCGCUGUUAAGCCAUAUGCGACGCACAGUAUCGCUUGCACAUGACAAAAUCAAAGCCAUAAUAUUGUAUAAUUGUAUGCAACGCUAGCUCAUGCGGUAGUCAUCGUUGAUUUCGGCCUUUUGUCUUGAUCCGCGGAAAUCUGUCGUUUUUUUAUGUCUGCGCUCAAAUGCUGAUAUCUUGCAUUCAUGAAUUGUUUUUAAUGAAUAAUGAAUAAAAACGUAUGCCUG